AAACGACUCUCGGCAACGGAUAUCUCGGCUCACGCAUCGAUGAAGAACGUAGCAAAAUGCGAUACUUGGUGUGAAUUGCAGAAUCCCGUGAACCAUCGAGUUUUUGAACGCAAGUUGCGCCGGAAGCCAUUCGGCCGAGGGCACGUCUGCCUGGGCGUCACGC
rnacentral:rRNA from 1 species